AUUGAAUUUAGAAGUUGAGUUAGGAUUAGCUCUUCUUGCUUAUGGAGCUGACCUUUGACAAAGCUAUCCCAAGAAGGAGGCAUGUUAUCAAGAAGGCUCGAGACCUUAAAUUCUUCAGCAAGAAUGGUUCCAUUAGUUUGAAGCUUCCUAAGGUAUUCUUGGAAUUGGUGGAGUUGGUCAUUUAUAGGUUUGUCGUCUACCAUAACAUAUCUAAGAAAUGAUGUGAUGUUGAACCGUUCAACCCGAGCAUUAUAAAGACCAUAUUCAGACUCUAGGUUAUCUC
rnacentral:lncRNA from 1 species